rnacentral:snoRNA from 1 species
GCAAAGUGAUGAUGAGAAAAACGUCUGUCAAUCCACUGACAAUUUAUGAUGUCUCGUUUUAUAUCCCAACAGGUUCUGAUUGC